rnacentral:lncRNA from 1 species
ACUGUACCUUGAGCAGCACCUGCUGGCAGCUUCCAGGGAUCACGCCGGAACGCGGCCGCUGCUCGAGCCCAGCUCGCAGGAUGCCUGGAGCCAGGGCCAAGCCGGUCUAAGCGGCAGCCUCUAUUUUUACCCUGAGCACCAGCAAGGGCAACUUCUUUUAAGAGCAGCUCUUGAUUUUUUCCCCCCUUUUGGCAGCUAAAGAAUUCAGGGAGGGGAAAAAAAUCACUGUUCAGUGAGUGCAGCUGGGAAUCUCUGAACCCAGCCCUCAGUGCCAGGGAGUGAAACCACAGCAAAUGUCAGGGAGCGGGACCUGCGGAGGGGCCGGCUGGCUCCCCGCGGACAGAGGCGAGCCGGGAGCGCUCGCGCACCAGCCAACUGCCCCCUUCUGAGUGCGGAGCGCGGUCCUCCAGCGACUGCACUAGCAAAGUGGCCCGCUGCCACCGCGUUAUUCACCUAGUGGAGGCGGCCUGAUUUACUGGCGACUUCACAAACCCAACUCCACGCUGGAGCAUUUGCAUGGCUCUGUUCUCGCCUCGAGGAGCAGCCACUAGCGAACCCGGUGGAGCAGCUUGCUGCGAGAAGGAGCCGGGAGGGAAACUGUGAGCCUUGGAAAGAUGGGCAAAUGCUCUGUGACAAGCCACCAGGGUAGACUGGUACUGAAAAGACCCUACUACACACAGGGGCUCUGUCCCUGGCUGGAAAGUUACAAGUCAGCCUACCUCUCUGUGAUCUGGUUUCCACACCUACUACUCUUUAUCCCAUGAGGAGCUUCUGGAAACUAAAAUAGGUACGUAAUCAAAACCAAAAGAAGACAUUGGUUCAAGGAUCCUCAAGAGCUCAGCAUCAUGUUUCUGUUGUUUCUUUUUGAAUAGACAAAAUUCUCAGUGUUCAGUAGCUACACACACACACACACACACACACACAAACACACACACCCCACACACAAAAGUAGCAUCUCCACAAUGUUGCAUGCAUCAGGAAAGCAAAUGUUUUUACCACAGGCUGGCUAUGCCUCAUCCUCUUAAACUAGCAUCUUGAGGUCUUUGCAGAAGCCAUUUUAUAGAUGCCUACACUCAUCCCAUUACUUGCAUUCUCAUCCUGAGGGUAUUUUAAGGAGUCAAAAUAAAGUUUACUUAGGCGUGUGUGAGAGACAGAAUGAUAGACCAAAAGAGAAGGCUAGGGCUUCGUAAUAUUUAGAUAAUGAUGAAACUGAAAUGGCUGAUGCAGAGUGCAGUAAUUAUAUAGGAUACUUUAUUAUUUGGGUUCACCUUUGCUCAGUAGUGAAUUAUAAGCACUCUACUAGGUGAGAGGUUUGGCUUCCAAAAUGAACAGCUGGCGCAGGAUGGAACUGUCAGACCAUGUCACAUGAUAAAUAAAAUAAUACAUAGAAACUUUAGGAUCUCCUAAUUGGAAGCUUCCUUUAGACAACAAAAGAUGCCAGGCUAUCUGCUGCCCCCUAACUGGUACCAUGAAGAACAGCACAUAACUUUUUAAGAAACAAAGUCUGAUUCAGGUACAAUUAGUUAGUGGCUGAGUCAACCUCCUAAGUUAUAGUUGUGAAUUUGGCCAUUUCCAUGAACCUGUUUGUUGCGAUUAAGGCAAAGUCAUCGGGUAGAGUCUGUUUUGUUUCUGUCUUUUCCUGAUGGAGAGGCACUCCUGAUUUGCAGCAGCUGCCCAGGUAGAAGAGUGUUGACCAAAGGACACAUCACCAGCACAGACUGUUAAUCAUGUGACUAGAGAAAACUCUCAUGGUGGCAUUCAAAUUUCCAUAUCCUUCUUCUAUGGAAAUUUCUGAGAGACCCAGAAAAGAAGCGUAACGACGAGGGAAAGUGAUUCCUGCAGACCUGAACAUUCCAGACUUACCAGGUGAUCCAGCUGUCUGUCAGCGGGAAGAGGCUGAGGCGCCCCCUUCUGGUGCAUCUGAAUAGUAAGAAACCCUGUGUAGAAAGAAACCCUGUAGCAAUUGGGCACCUUCUCCGUGAUCUGUCUGCUUCCAAUACCAAAAAUUGUUGCUUUUUAAAUGACAUCCAUCCUAAGCUUAAAAAAGACGCAUAUUAUUUGUAUAAAAUGUUGAAGACGCAGAACAAAAAAUGUAAAUCACAUGUAAUCAUCCCUUCCAGAAAUAAUCGUUAUUAAAAUUUCUGUGUAUGUGUAAAAAAAAAAAUUGCAAUCCUACUGUAAUAUAAUCCUGUAUACUGAUAUUUUUCACCUAUCACUGUAUGUUGAGCAUUUUCAAUAGUCAAAUUAUUUCUUGAAAAUAUUAAUGACUGGGGAGUAACCUUUCAAAUAGGUGUGUCUUUAUUUUUAAACCAGUCCACAAUUAUUGUAUAUUGAAGUCAUUUCCCAAAUUUUGUAAGUAUAAGUAUUGCAUCCAUCCUUAUAUGUAUUUAAAUGCAUCUCUUAUUAUUUCCUUGAGAUAAGUUCCUAGAAGUGGAAUCACUGGAUUUAAAAAUGUGGACAUAUUUAUGCCAGACGCGGUGGGUCAUGCCUGUAAUCCCAGCACUUUGGGAGACUGAAGCAGGUGGAUCACUUGAGGUCAGGAGUUCAAGACCAGCCUGGCCAACAUAGUGAAACCCCAUCUCUACUAAAAUUACAAAAAUUAGCCGGGUGUGGUAGUGCACGCCUGUAAUCCCAGCUACUCAGGAGGCUGAGGCAUAAGAAUCACUUGAACUCAGGAGGCGGAGGUUGCAGUGAGCCAAGAUGGCACCACUGCGCUCCAGUCUGGGCGACAGAGUAAGACUUCAUCUCAAAAAUAAAUAAAUAAAAUUAAAAUUAAAUAAGAUAAAUAAAAAAUAAAAAUGUGGACAUAUUUAAAUCUUCAUAUAUAUUACCAAAUGCCCUCCUGAAAGUUUUUACCUGUUACAUUCCAACCAAUAGUGUAAGGGCAUGACUCUUUCCCUGUGUUUUGGGAUGGAUGUUAUCAAAGUUCUCUCCCACCCAGGCCAAGUAUGGUAUAUGCUUUGAUUUAAUUUGAAUUUUUAAAUUAUUAUUUAAAAUGGACAUUUUGUUGUCCAUUUGAACAACUUUCUUUUGAGUCACUGUUCAUGUUCUUUGCCCAUUGUUUCUCUUUUAUUAGUAAGAACCCUAUUGUCAUUUUUAUAUUUUAAAUAAAAUUUCAUUGUAUAUACAUUUAUAUUAUCUAUAGUAAAGUAUAUUUUAUUAUUAAUGAGAACUUU